rnacentral:rRNA from 1 species
AUGGGUCGGGUCUGGGCAGAAGGCUGGCGCCUGCGGGAGAAAGCACCGGGGGUUGGUGCAGCGACAAAUGAGGACGGGGUGGGCCGUGGAGGGAGGCUCGCCGGAUGGAGAAGCCGGAGCAAGGAGGCAUGUUCGGCCAUGGAGGUAUGCCCUUUGGCCGGAGCAGCAGGAGUAACUGCAGCCGCUGGUCGGCCCCAUGCACCGCCUCAGCCCGCAUCGUCUGCUGCAGCCCGCACGGUCGAGAGGGGCAGUUGCGCCGUAGUUGGCGGCGAGUUCAGCGGCCGCCUCCUCCUCUCCUCUUCGAAUCCAAUGCCUAUGGGUUCUCCUAAGUUGGAUUGUUCAUCCUUCUUUGCUGGUGGUGUGCUCGUCCGUUGCAAUAGCCUUCGUGCGCUGGAUCAACACUGCCGGUUGGUUUCUUCCUGUUCUGUCCUGCUUCCACCGUCGUAUCAUUCUGCCGUUGCCAUUGAGCAGGUUCGACGAUCUGCUAGGCUGCUGCAUCUGCAACUCUGUGCUGCUGUUCAAGGUUUGCUUGAUUCUUUCUGCCCUACAUGCUUGUUCUUUCUUGCUGCACAUAUGCUUCUCUUUCUCUUAAGUACUGAAUUCUGA